AUGUCCAACAAUCUACUAUCAGGAGAGAUACCUACAGGCAAUCAGCUCCAAACACUCAAUGACCCGUCAAUAUACAGCAACAACCUGGGACUUUGUGGUCUCCCCCUGAGCACUCCAUGUAAGCAUGAUUCAAGUUCUGCAACAGUGCUGGAUCAGCCAAAUGAACAUCACCAUGAACUUGAGACUUUGUGGCUGUCCUACUCAGUGAUUGCUGGAACUGUCUUUGGUUUCUGGAUAUGGUUUGGAACAUUGUUUUUCUGGAACAUCUGGAGGAUUACCUUCUUCAGUUGCAUCGAUGCCAUGCAACAGAAUGUUAUGCAAAAGAUGGCGUGUACCUGGCAGUAUGACACUCUGUCCGAAAGACGGCGAAGGUCACUCCCUUCUUGA
rnacentral:rRNA from 1 species